rnacentral:rRNA from 1 species
AUUGAACGCUGGCGGCAGGCCUAACACAUGCAAGUCGAACGAGUGGCGGACGGGUGAGUAAUGUCUGGGCAACUGCCCGAUGGCGGGGGCUAACUACUGGACACGGUAGCUAAUACCGCAUACCAUCGGAUGUGCCCAGUUGGGAUUAGCUCGUAGGUGGGGUAACGGCUCACCUGGGCGACGCUCCCUAGCGGGUCUUCGAGGAUGACCGGCCACACUGGAACUGAGACACGGUCCAGACUCCGACGGGAGGCAGCAGUGGGGAAUAUUGCACAAUGGGCGCAAGCCUGAGGCAGCCAUGCCGCGUGUAUGAAGAAGGCCUUCGGGUUGUAAAGUACUUUCAGCGAGGAGGCGUUACUCGCAGAAGAAGCACCGGCUAACUACGUGCCAGCAGCCGCGGUAAUUC